GACGAACCGUGCGAACGUUAUUCGGAAUCACUGGGCUUAAAGCGCGUGUAGGCGGGACGGCACGUCGGCCGCUAAAAUCCCCCGGCUUAACCGGGGAAGGGGCGCCGAUACGACUGCCCUGGAGGAACGUAGGGGGAGCUGGAACUUCCGGUGGAGCGGUGAAAUGCGUUGAGAUCGGAAGGAACGCCCGUGGCGAAAGCGAGCUCCUGGACGUUUUCUGACGCUGAGACGCGAAAGCCAGGGGAGCGAACGGG
rnacentral:rRNA from 1 species